AAAACGGAGAGUUUGAUCCUGGCUCAGGAUGAACGCUGGCGGUAUGCUUAACACAUGCAAGUCGAACGGUGUCUUCGGACAUAGUGGCGGACGGGUGAGUAACGCGUGAGAAUCUGGCUUCAGGUCUGGGACAACCACUGGAAACGGUGGCUAAUACCGGAUGUGCCGAAAGGUGAAAGGCUUGCUGCCUGAAGAUGAGCUCGCGUCUGAUUAGCUAGUUGGAAGUGUAAUGGACUCCCAAGGCGACGAUCAGUAGCUGGUCUGAGAGGACGAUCAGCCACACUGGGACUGAGACACGGCCCAGACUCCUACGGGAGGCAGCAGUGGGGAAUUUUCCGCAAUGGGCGAAAGCCUGACGGAGCAAUACCGCGUGAGGGAGGAAGGCUCUUGGGUCGUAAACCUCUUUUCUCAGGGAAGAACACAAUGACGGUACCUGAGGAAUAAGCAUCGGCUAACUCCGUGCCAGCAGCCGCGGUAAUACGGAGGAUGCAAGCGUUAUCCGGAAUGAUUGGGCGUAAAGCGUCCGCAGGUGGCAAUGUAAGUCUGCUGUUAAAGAGUCUAGCUCAACUAGAUAAGAGCAGUGGAAACUACAUAGCUAGAGUACGUUCGGGGCAGAGGGAAUUCCUGGUGUAGCGGUGAAAUGCGUAGAGAUCAGGAAGAACACCAGUGGCGAAGGCGCUCUGCUAGACACGUAACUGACACUGAGGGACGAAAGCUAGGGGAGCGAAUGGGAUUAGAUACCCCAGUAGUCCUAGCCGUAAACGAUGGAUACUAGGCGUGGCUUGUAUCGACCCGAGCCGUGCCGUAGCUAACGCGUUAAGUAUCCCGCCUGGGGAGUACGCUAGCAACGGUGAAACUCAAAGGAAUUGACGGGGGCCCGCACAAGCGGUGGAGUAUGUGGUUUAAUUCGAUGCAACGCGAAGAACCUUACCAAGGCUUGACAUGUCGCGAAUCUUCUUGAAAGAGAAGAGUGCCUUCGGGAGCGCGAACACAGGUGGUGCAUGGCUGUCGUCGAGCUCGUGUCGUGAGAUGUUGGGUUAAGUCCCGCAACGAGCGCAACCCUCGUUUUUAGUUGCCAGCAUUAAGUUGGGCACUCUAGAGAGACUGUCUUAGGUGACAAACCGGAGGAAGGUGGGGAUGACGUCAAGUCAGCAUGCCCCUUACGCCUUGGGCUACACACGUACUACAAUGCUCCGGACAGAGGGCAGCAAGCAUGCGAAUGCAAGCAAAUCCCGUAAACCGGAGCUCAGUUCAGAUCGCAGGCUGCAACUCGCCUGCGUGAAGGAGGAAUCGCUAGUAAUUGCAGGUCAGCAUACUGCAGUGAAUUCGUUCCCGAGGCCUUGUACACACCGCCCGUCACACCAUGGAAGCUGGUAGUGCCCGAAGUCAUUACUCCAACCAUUCGUGGAGGAGGAUGCCUAAGGCAGGACUGGUGACUGGGGUGAAGUCGUAACAAGGUAGCCGUACCGGAAGGUGUGGCUGGAUCACCUCCUUU
rnacentral:rRNA from 1 species